AGAGUUUGAUCAUGGCUCAGGACGAACGCUGGCGGCGUGCUUAACACAUGCAAGUCGAACGGAAAGGCCCUUCGGGGUACUCGAGUGGCGAACGGGUGAGUAACACGUGGGUGAUCUGCCCUGCACUUUGGGAUAAGCCUGGGAAACUGGGUCUAAUACCGGAUAGGACCACGGCAUUCAUGUGCUGUGGUGGAAAGCUUUUGCGGUGUGGGAUGGGCCCGCGGCCUAUCAGCUUGUUGGUGGGGUAAUGGCCUACCAAGGCGACGACGGGUAGCCGGCCUGAGAGGGUGACCGGCCACACUGGGACUGAGAUACGGCCCAGACUCCUACGGGAGGCAGCAGUGGGGAAUAUUGCACAAUGGGCGCAAGCCUGAUGCAGCGACGCCGCGUGAGGGAUGACGGCUUCGGGUUGUAAACCUCUUUCGCCAGGGACGAAGCGCAAGUGACGGUACCUGGAGAAGAAGGACCGGCCAACUACGUGCCAGCAGCCGCGGUAAUACGUAGGGUCCGAGCGUUGUCCGGAAUUACUGGGCGUAAAGAGCUCGUAGGUGGUUUGUCGCGUUGUUCGUGAAAACUCACAACUCAAUUGUGGGCGUGCGGGCGAUACGGGCAGACUGGAGUACUGCAGGGGAGACUGGAAUUCCUGGUGUAGCGGUGGAAUGCGCAGAUAUCAGGAGGAACACCGGUGGGAGAAAGGCGGGUCUCUGGGCAGUAACUGACGCUGAGGAGCGAAAGCGUGGGGAGCGAACAGGAUUAGAUACCCUGGUAGUCCACGCCGUAAACGGUGGGUACUAGGUGUGGGUUUCCUUCCUUGGGAUCCGUGCCGUAGCUAACGCAUUAAGUACCCCGCCUGGGGAGUACGGCCGCAAGGCUAAAACUCAAAGGAAUUGACGGGGGCCCGCACAAGCGGCGGAGCAUGUGGAUUAAUUCGAUGCAACGCGAAGAACCUUACCUGGGUUUGACAUGCACAGGACGCUGGUAGAGAUAUCAGUUCCCUUGUGGCCUGUGUGCAGGUGGUGCAUGGCUGUCGUCAGCUCGUGUCGUGAGAUGUUGGGUUAAGUCCCGCAACGAGCGCAACCCUUGUCUCAUGUUGCCAGCACGUUAUGGUGGGGACUCGUGAGAGACUGCCGGGGUCAACUCGGAGGAAGGUGGGGAUGACGUCAAGUCAUCAUGCCCCUUAUGUCCAGGGCUUCACACAUGCUACAAUGGCCGGUACAAAGGGCUGCGAUGCCGUGAGGUGGAGCGAAUCCUUUCAAAGCCGGUCUCAGUUCGGAUCGGGGUCUGCAACUCGACCCCGUGAAGUCGGAGUCGCUAGUAAUCGCAGAUCAGCAACGCUGCGGUGAAUACGUUCCC
rnacentral:rRNA from 2 species